UUAGCUCUCUUUGCCUAUUGGCUUAGAUCAAGUGUAGUAUCUGUUCUUUUCAGUUUAAUCUCUGAAACGUCUCUACUGAGACAUUUAUUGAUUAUUCCUAUUUUUGGCCUUCGGAUGGUUUCCUCUGUGCUUGCACAUGAUUCCGUCCACAGUGUUCCUGGUAUUACACUGCCUCCAGGUAACGCGAACCUUC
rnacentral:snRNA from 1 species